UGCUAGAACAUUUUAAAAUGUAGAUUCUAUACAAGCAGUUAAAAGGAAGCAGAUCUAUUGAGAACCAGAUAUUUACUUCUCUCCUUUGUGGGUCAAAAUCUUAAAUGCUCUCUCCUAGCAGCUAACACUUCACUUCUACGCAAUGGUCAGAUAAACACACCUAUUUCAUUACUAUGGGAGAAUGAAAGCCCCUAUUGUUCUCCACUGAACAGCUCUGAGAUAAAUGCAAGCACACGCACUCACCUACAGAGCAUGUAGUAACCACAACAAAAAGAGGUUUAAAUCACCAGAUGUAGGGUUUACAUGGAGACUUGACAGUUGCAUUGACAACACAGUCUUAAAAGACUACUCAAUCAAGCUCAAGAGAAAAAUAAUUCACUAGCACACUGCUUGCUAGAGAGUCAGAUAUUUUUAUCUACUGAAACAGGACAAACUGAUAUUUUAAAGCUUCCCAUUUGCUUUUGCAUGUGUUCAUUUUACAUUUUGCUUUUGCUGAGAAAUGUUAUAAAUUAGCCAUGGAAACACUCCUCCUCCAGACUAUGGAUUUAUUAGGAUCAACAUGUUGCCAUCAUCCAAGAGAUCAAGAGGGUGUCCAGGAUCAUCUUCUGUGGUUGGGUGCUUGGGAUACAAAAAAGGAAGGAGUGGGACGCCUAUUUAAAUGUCAUAUCCACAAAUCAAUCUUAUCGUUUGAACCAUUUUCCGGUUGCCUACUUAAAGCCCAGUUGUAGCAUAAGCAUGGAAGAUGAACAACUAUUCUUUGCUAUGCUCCAAGCAGUGAAGCUUCUGAUGAAGACAAGACAAAGUUCUACAAUCAACUGAACUCUUUUUAUUCAACUAUCUCUAAUCACGAAAUUGUCACUCUGCUCAGUAAUUUUAAUGCUACUGUUGAUAAUUCAAGUGGACCAUGGAAAAACCUUAUUGGACCUAUAACCUCAAAUAUCUUAAAAAGCAAUGGGAAAGAUUUUGCUUCUGUCUUGCUGACCCAAGCUCCUGAUAUCGAAGGAGCAAGAGAAGACUACAACAAGCUGGCUUCACUCCCAGCCGUUCCAUGACAGAGCAAAUUGUCACAGUGCAUCAGCUUAUUGAGAAGGCACAAGACUUCAAGCACCCUGUUCACAUUACAUUUAUGGAUAUCAAGGUCAGGUUUGACUCUGUUGACAGGGAAUCACUUUGGCUGAUCUUGAAACUCGCAGGCUUCCCUGACAAGCUCCAUAAAAUGUUCCAUCUCCUAUCUGAUGAUUCCUCAAGCUGCAUCCUUGUAAAUGGAAAAAGAACCCCCUUCUUAAGAAUUAGGUUGGGCAUUCGAUGCCAUUCCAGA